rnacentral:rRNA from 1 species
GAUGAACGCUGGCGGCGUGCCUAAUACAUGCAAGUCGAGCGAACGGACGAGAAGCUUGCUUCUCUGAUGUUAGCGGCGGACGGGUGAGUAACACGUGGAUAACCUACCUAUAAGACUGGGAUAACUUCGGGAAACCGGAGCUAAUACCGGAUGAUAUUUUGAACCGCAUGGUUCAAAAGUGAAAGACGGUCUUGCUGUCACUUAUAGAUGGAUCCGCGCUGCAUUAGCUAGUUGGUAAGGUAACGGCUUACCAAGGCAACGAUGCAUAGCCGACCUGAGAGGGUGAUCGGCCACACUGGAACUGAGACACGGUCCAGACUCCUACGGGAGGCAGCAAUAGGGAAUCUUCCGCAAUGGGCGAAAGCCUGACGGAGCAACGCCGCGUGAGUGAUGAAGGUCUUCGGAUCGUAAAACUCUGUUAUUAGGGAAGAACAUAUGUGUAAGUAACUGUGCACAUCUUGACGGUACCUAAUCAGAAAGCCACGGCUAACUACGUG